ACAGCCAUUUCACACUGAAACACCGCUUCCGUACAAUUACCAAAGUCAAGCAACGUCGAGCCUGGUCAUUACCUAGAUGGGUGACCGCUUGGGAAUACCAGGUGCUGUAAG